CUGGGCGUAAAGAGCGUUGAGGCGGUUCCGUAAGUUGGGCGUGAAAGCCCCGGGCUUAACCCGGGGAGGUCGUUCAAUACUGCGGAACUUGAGGGCAGCAGAGGGAGGUGGAAUUCCCGGAGUAGCGAUGAAAUGCGUAGAUAUCGGGAGGAACACCAGUGGCGAAGGCGGCCUCCUGGGCUGUUCCUGACGCUGAAGGCGAAAGCUAGGGGAGCAAACGGGAUUAGAAACCCCGGUAGUCCUAGCCGUAAACGAUGGAUGCUGGGUGUGGUGGGUAUAGACUCCCUCCGUGCCGAAGCUAACGCGUUAAGCAUCCCGCCUGGGGACUACGGCCGCAAGGCUAAAACUCAAACGAAUUGACGGGGACCCGCACAAGCAGCGGAGCGUGUGGUUUAAUUCGAUGUUACACGAAGAACCUUACCUGGGCUUGACAUGCAGGUAGUAGUGAAGCGAAAGCGGAACGACCCUUCGGGGAGCCUGCACAGGUGCUGCAUGGCUGUCGUCAGCUCGUGCCGUGAGGUGUCGGGUUAAGUCCCGUAACGAGCGCAACCCUUACCCUUAGUUAUACGUGUCUAAGGGGACUGCCCGGGACAACUGGGAGGAAGGUGGGGAUGACGUCAAGUCAGCAUGGCCCUUAUGUCCAGGGCUACACACACGCUAUAAUGGCCGGUACAAUGGGUCG
rnacentral:rRNA from 1 species